CCGAAAGGGCUAUUAAUACGCCAUAGUUUUAAAUUAGUGGAAUUAAUUUAAAUUAAAGGAGGCUGCCGAAAGGUGGCCUCGCGGAUGAAUAGGAAUAUGUCCUAUUAGGUCGUUGGAGAGGUAAUGGCUCACCAAGCCGAUGAUGGGUAGCUGGACUGAGAGGUUGAACAGCCGCAAUGGGAUUGAGAAAUGGCCCAUAUUCCUACGGGAAGCAGCAGUGAGGAAUUUUUCACAAUGGACGAAAGUCUGAUGGAGCAAUACCACGUGAACGAUGAAGGUCUUCUGAUUGUAAAGUUCUUUUAUUUAGGAAAAAAAGCGCGGCAGGAAAUGGCCGCGCCUUGAUUGUACUAAUUGAAUAAGUGACAGCUAACUAUGUGCCAGCAGCUGCGGUAAAACAUAGGUCACGAGCAUUAUCCGGAUUUAUUGGGCGUAAAGGAAGCGUAGGCUGAAAUGUGUAUUCAUUGUUAAAAAUAUUUGCUUAACAAGUGUUCGCGGUGAAGAUUACAUUUCUAGAAUUAGUUAGAGGGUACUGGAAUUCAAUGUGUAGUGGUGGAAUACGUAGAUAUAUUGAGGAACACCAGAGGCUAAGGCGAGUGCCUGGAACAUAAUUGACGCUGAGGCUUGAAAGCGUGGGUAGCAAAUGGGAUUAGAUACCCCAGUAGUCCACGCCGUAAACGAUGGGUAUUAGUCAUUUGGAUUUAAGUUGAGUGAUGUAGCUAACGCGUUAAAUACCCCGCCUGGGUAGUAUAUAUGCAAAUAUGAAACUCAAAGAAAUUGACGGGGACCUGAACAAGUGGUGGAGCAUGUUGCUUAAUUCGUUAAUACACGCAAAACCUUACCAAGGCUUGCAAUCUUCUGCAAAGCUAUAGAAAUAUAGUGGAGGCUAUCAGAAUGACAGGUGGUGCAUGGCUGUCGUCAGCUCG
rnacentral:rRNA from 1 species